rnacentral:rRNA from 1 species
UACGAAGGGGGGCUAGCGUUGCUCGGAAUCACUGGGCGUAAAGGGUGCGUAGGCGGAUUUCUAAGUCAGGGGUGAAAGCCUGAGGCUCAACCUCAGAACUGCCUUUGAUACUGGAAGUCUUGAGACCGGAAGAGGUAAGUGGGACUGCGAGUGUAGAGGUGAAAUUCGUAGAUAUUCGCAAGAACACCAGUGGCGAAGGCGGCUUACUGGUCCGGUUCUGGACGCUGAGGCACGAAAGCGUGGGGAGCAAACAGG